UGGGGAAUAUUGGACAAUGGGGGCAACCCUGAUCCAGCCAUGCCGCGUGAGUGAUGAAGGCCUUCGGGUUGUAAAGCUCUUUUGGCGGGGACGAUGAUGACGGUACCCGCAGAAUAAGCCCGGCUAACUUCGUGCCAGCAGCCGCGGUAAGACGAAGGGGGCUAGCGUUGUUCGGAAUUACUGGGCGUAAAGCGAGUGUAGGUGGUUUUCCAAGUUGGAUGUGAAAGCCUUGAGCUCAACUCAAGAAAUGCAUUCAGGACUGGGAGACUAGAGGACCGGAGAGGAUAGUGGAAUUCCCAGUGUAGUGGUGAAAUACGUAGAGAUUGGGAAGAACACCAGUGGCGAAGGCGGCUAUCUGGACGGUUUCUGACACUAAGACUCGAAAGCGUGGGGAGCAAACAGGAUUNGAUACCCUGGUAGUC
rnacentral:rRNA from 1 species